rnacentral:rRNA from 1 species
AGGGUGGGCUCGCGUCUGAUUAGCUAGUUGGCGGGGUAACGGCCCACCAAGGUGACGAUCAGUAGCCGACCUGAGAGGGUGAUCGGCCACACUGGGACUGAGACACGGCCCAGACUCCUACGGGAGGCAGCAGUGGGGAAUAUUGGGCAAUGGGCGAAAGCCUGACCCAGCAACGCCGCGUGAGGGAAGAAGGUUUUCGGAUCGUAAACCUCUGUCCUUAGUGAAGAGUAAGAGACGGUAGCUAAGGAGGAAGCCCCGGCUAACCACGUGCCAGCAGCCGCGGUAAUACGUAGGGGGCGAGCGUUGUCCGGAAUGAUUGGGCGUAAAGGGCGCGUAGGCGGCCUGUUAAGUCCGGAGUGAAAUUCCUGCUUUCAAGGUAGGAAGUGCUUUGGAAACUGGCGGGCUGGAGUGCAGGAGGGGUUAGCGGAAUUCCCGGUGUAGCGGUGAAAUGCGUAGAGAUCGGGAGGAACACCAGUGGCGAAGGCGGCUAACUGGACUGUAACUGACGCUGAGGCGCGAAAGUGUGGGGAGCAAACAGGAUUAGAUACCCUGGUAGUCCACACUGUAAACGAAGAAUGCUAGGUGUAGGGGGUAUCGACCCCUUCUGUGCCGGAGUCAACACAAUAA